AAGUGACGCACAAAGUGCUUUGACUCGUGCCAGCCCCCUAACCUGCGGAAGUGGAGUGCGGGCGUGCGCCGGAAGAGGGGUACGGAAGUGCGCCGGAAGUGGGGUGCGGAGGUGUGCAGCGCGCUGUCAGACUGGCUCGCAGGCGGCGCGGCCGGCGGACCCGUUCAAGACAGCGCGGGCGGGUCGGGUCCCCUGGGGCUCCGCAGCAGGAGGACGCCAUGGACGACAAGGAGUUAAUUGAAUACUUUAAGUCUCAGAUGAAAGAAGAUCCUGACAUGGCCUCAGCAGUGGCUGCCAUCCGGACGUUGCUGGAGUUCUUGAAGAGAGAUAAAGGGGAGACAAUCCAGGGCCUGAGGGCGAAUCUCACCAGUGCCAUAGAAACCCUGUGUGGUGUGGACUCCUCCGUGGCAGUGUCCUCUGGCGGGGAGCUCUUCCUCCGCUUCAUCAGCCUUGCCUCCCUGGAAUACUCCGAUUACUCCAAAUGUAAAAAGAUCAUGAUUGAGCGGGGAGAACUUUUUCUCAGGAGAAUAUCACUGUCAAGAAACAAAAUUGCAGAUCUGUGCCAUACUUUCAUCAAAGAUGGAGCGACAAUAUUGACUCACGCCUACUCCAGAGUGGUCCUGAGAGUCCUGGAAGCAGCCGUGACGGCCAAGAAGCGAUUUAGUGUAUACGUCACAGAGUCACAGCCUGAUUUGUCAGGUAAGAAAAUGGCCAAAGCCCUCUGCCACCUCAACGUCCCUGUCACUGUGGUGCUAGAUGCUGCUGUCGGCUACAUCAUGGAGAAAGCAGAUCUUGUCAUAGUUGGUGCUGAAGGAGUUGUUGAAAACGGAGGAAUUAUUAACAAGAUUGGAACCAACCAGAUGGCCGUGUGUGCCAAAGCACAGAACAAACCUUUCUAUGUGGUUGCAGAAAGUUUCAAGUUUGUCCGGCUCUUUCCACUAAACCAGCAAGACGUCCCAGAUAAGUUUAAGUAUAAGGCAGAUACCCUCAAGGUCGCGCAGACUGGACAAGACCUCAAAGAAGAGCAUCCGUGGGUCGACUACACUGCCCCUUCCUUAAUCACUCUGCUGUUUACAGACCUGGGCGUGCUGACACCCUCAGCAGUCAGCGAUGAGCUCAUCAAGCUCUAUCUGUAACCUGUGAGCCCUUUCCUGCCAAGGUGCAGCUUACGUAGUUGAGGCAGGAUGAGUAGCUGCUUGACACCCCAGUGAGUCAGGUCAGAACUGAGAUGUGUUUAAUGAAGAUUCAUGGAGUAAGGACUUAAAAUCAUACAUUUUGGAGAACCUUUCUUACUUAUUUCAGUCCCAUCUAAAAAUGUGUCAGCUAUUCUAAAUCCCAACUUAAAUUGUUCUUACGGUUUCUAGAAACUUUCCUUUUCAGUUUCCAGAAGUACAAGUUAGAUAAUUGGCUACUUAACUGAUGAAAGAUGAGCCCAAGUCCACCUGUCUUCAUCCUCCCCUGCACUCCAGACUGAUCUGCCAAAAGCACGCGAGAUGCAGGCGAAAAGCAGCCACACCCCUCUGCCACAAACGACCAACAGCUGGUCAGGCCGUUACAUGCGGUGCCUUGUAAGGAGCAAGAAACACUUGCCGAAUCUACAUCUGGCUUCCAGUGCUAUUCACCAAUAAAACAAUACUGGGACUAUUCUUAACACAAAAACCCCAGCAUAUUAGCCACCUCUGCAGGGCAUCAAAGGAUAACUGAAGCCCAGGGCCAAGGACAUUCAGGAGGUCAGAUGCCUGAAGAUACUGAGGAAUGGUUUUGAAAAUCAGAAGUCAAGAAUACUUCAGUAUCUUUAUGUUUAAAAUAACUAUGAAAUAGCCUCCGAAAAAAGCUUAUAUAUAUAUAUAUAUAAUAUGUACAUAUGUCUAUAUAUGUGACCCAUCAUGAUAAAUACUGACAUCUAUUAUUUACACUCAAAU